rnacentral:tRNA from 1 species
GUGCUCGUGGCGGAACGGCAGACGCACCAGCUUGAGGGGCUGGCGAGGAAUCUCGUGUGGGUUCAAAUCCCACUGAGCGCA